rnacentral:rRNA from 1 species
ACGAACGCUGGCGGCGUGCCUAAUACAUGCACGUCUAGCGGACUGAUUAAGAGCUUGCUCUUAUGACGUUAGCGGCGGACGGGUGAGUAACACGUGGGCAACCUGCCCUGUAGAUCGGGAUAACACCGAGAAAUCGGUGCUAAUACCGGGUAAUAUCUGAGAUCACAUGAUCUUAGGUUAAAAGAUGGCUCCGGCUAUCACUACAGGAUGGGCCCGCGGCGCAUUAGCUAGUUGGUAAGGUAAUGGCUUACCAAGGCGACGAUGCGUAGCCGACCUGAGAGGGUGAUCGGCCACACUGGGACUGAGACACGGCCCAGACUCCUACGGGAGGCAGCAGUAGGGAAUCUUCCGCAAUGGACGAAAGUCUGACGGAGCAACGCCGCGUGAGUGAUGAAGGGUUUCGGCUCGUAAAGCUCUGUUGUUAGGGAAGAAACAGUACCGAACGAACUAGGUCGGUACCUUGACGGUACCUAACCAGAAAGCCACGGCUAACUACGUG